AUUAUAAUCAGCAGCGCUUUGUUAACUACACAAGGGAUGCCCUACAGGGCCUAGCAGAACAGUUACAAGCCACUACUCAAAUGACAUUUCAGAACAGAAUGGCCCUAGAUAUGAUUUUAGCUGAGAAAGGGGGAGUAUGUAAAAUCCUCCCUGAGACCAUGACAUGCUGCACAUACAUUCCAGACAACACUGGGCCCAAUGGUAAGGUGACUAUGGCCAUAGAGAAGCUAGAUAGUCUUGCAGACGAGCUAAAGAAAAAUU